UCUACGCUCCUUUCGCUAGUAGCAACUCUAAUACCAACUCAUCUUGGUAACUCUCCAAGGACCCUCUCUACUGAUUAACUCUAAUCAGUCACAAGCUUAGGCAACUCUACCAAAACACCUCUCUCAACAAAAGAAAACACUACUCUUAUAAUAUGAGUAGUUCAAUUACAAAUCAAUACUCACUCAAUAACACUCACUCACUCGUUAAGCAUACUGCAAAGAUAAAAACAUGAGUAAUGCUUGAGCAAUCUUGAAAUGAAGCUUUUGCUGGCUCUCUUCACUCUUUGAUUUUUGCAAAUGCUAAUUUGAUGAAGGGGCAUCUUUUUCCUUUUAUAGCUGAGUGAUGAUUAGGGCUGAAAGAUUAUUGGACCAGCUAUCCUAAUUAGUACAAAAUAUCACCUGUAAGUUUGUUACACGAGAGGACAAAAUAAUACAGACAAUGGGUACUACUUGUACUGUAGCUUGCACAUCGAGGGACCUGAUCUCUUGUAGUUAGAUGCUCAUCAUCAAAACUACAUAUAUUAAUUUUAUUCCUUUUUUAUGAUGAAAAACCAACCAUUCAGCUUUGGGAAUCAAUGCACAUUCAUCAUAUUUAAUUAGUGUGAUUACCACCUGAAGAUGAAUGUUCCCCUUAUAAUCAUGCUUUAUCCAUCAUGCAACAUAGGGACCUGGUCCUUUGUUGUCUUUUUCAACAAAAAAUCUGAGCAUAUGUUUGCUUCCCUCUAUCAACAUACACCUUCAUUCAUCUAUUCAACACAUCAUAUACUUUUCCCUAUCAUCAUGUCAUUAAAAUCUACAACUCAAUUCACCUAGUACUUGGUCCCUACANN
rnacentral:lncRNA from 1 species